UCCCCUGUGGUCCAGUGUUAGGACUGGGCACUUUCACUGCUAUGGCCCAGAGUUCAAUUCCUGGUCAGGGAA
rnacentral:tRNA from 1 species